UACGGAGGGGGCUAGCGUUGUUCGGAAUUACUGGGCGUAAAGCGCGCGUAGGCGGACCUGCAAGUCGGGGGUGAAAGCCCGAGGCUCAACCUCGGAACUGCCUUCGAUACUGCGGGUCUCGAGUCCGGGAGAGGUGAGUGGAAUUCCUAGUGUAGAGGUGAAAUUCGUAGAUAUGUGGAGGAACACCAAUGGCGAAGGCAGCCCCCUGGGUCAACACUGACGCUCAUGCACGAAAGCGUGGGGAGCAAACAGG
rnacentral:rRNA from 1 species